rnacentral:rRNA from 1 species
GACGAACGCUGGCGGCGUGCUUAACACAUGCAAGUCGAGCGGAAAGGCCCUUCGUGGUACUCGAGCGGCGAACGGGUGAGUAACACGUGAGUAACCUGCCCCAGACUUUGGGAUAACCCUCGGAAACGGGGGCUAAUACCGGAUACGACACAGCUUCGCAUGGGGUCUGUGUGGAAAGUUUUUCGGUUUUGGAUGGGCUCGCGGCCUAUCAGCUUGUUGGUGGGGUGAUGGCCUACCAAGGCGACGACGGGUAGCCGGCCUGAGAGGGCGACCGGCCACACUGGGACUGAGACACGGCCCAGACUCCUACGGGAGGCAGCAGUGGGGAAUAUUGCACAAUGGGCGGAAGCCUGAUGCAGCGACGCCGCGUGAGGGAUGACGGCCUUCGGGUUGUAAACCUCUUUCAGCAGGGACGAAGCGUAAGUGACGGUACCUGCAGAAGAAGCGCCGGCCAACUACGUG